ACAACUGAGGAAAGUGGAAGUUCAGAAAUUUCAGGGACUUGCUGAAGGCUGACAACCAGCUGAGAAGAAAGCCACUUGGUCUGUGCUGAGUGGUCUGCAGAGUCCAAAGCAGGUCUGGGCAGAGAGGCAGUUCUGCCAGCCAGAGCGGAAGGAGCCAAGCACUCCUGCAAAUGUCCACACUUGCAGGCUUUCAUGAAAUAAACUGCCACGUGGAAAGGCAUAUGGCAAGGAACUGAAGGCAGCCUCUGGCCAACAGCCAGCGAGGAGCUGAGGUCCUCUGUCCAACAGCCCACAAGGAACUGACUCCUACCAACAACCACCGAGAGAGAUUGGAUGCCAAUGAUUCUCCAGUCAAGGCUUCUGAUGAAUAGGGUGUCCAGCUCCUGGUUAAAAGCCUACGUGUGACUUCUCAGGCCUGCCCAGAGGCAGUGACAAAGGCUUCACCUGGCAGGUCUCACAGGGAAAGCUGCCCUCCCCACACCAGCCCUGGUGCAUGGCAGGCACACGGCAGUCUCUGAAGGGAGACGCAUCAAGGACCACACCCCUCUGGCCAGUCAUGCUCUUGCACAUGUCUGCAGUCAUUCCUAGGCCUGGUGCCUUCAUUCCUAGGUCUCUUCAUCUGAGUUCUUGGGCAGAGGUCCUUUUCAGAUACCUGUGCCAAGACCUCCUUCUGGAGGGAGGACAGGACCUUGCAGACACUUCCUCCACCGUGAGUCAGUACCAGUAAUUUUCCACCCCAGCCCUGCUCUCUCACCCUCUGCACUCCCACCUCCCAAUCUCUAAGAUCCAUAAAACAACUGGAGCCUUUCAUUCAGGUUCUUUCAACAGCAAGAUGACCCCCACGUCUGUGCUGAUCCCCCUGUGGCAUUCCAUGGGGGAAAAUGCAACAGGGAGACAAGGUACUUUCGCCAGUUUCAGCCUCUUGCUUACACCAUCACGCCAAGAGUAGAGGCUUGAUGCUUUCAUUUUUGGCCUGACACUUCAGCGCUUGACUGAGCUCCUGAAAACGAGACCCAGCCUUGUCUGACACCUUGAGACACCCUGAUUCACAGUUCCCAGCUCAGUCACACCCAAGCCCCUAAUCCACAGAAAUUGUGAGAUAAUAAAUGUACGUUGUUUUAUU